CCUACGGGCGGCAGCAGUGGGGCAUAUUGCACAAUGGGGGAAACCCUGAUGCAGCGACGCCGCGUGAGUGAAGCAGUAAUUCGUUAUGUAAAGCUCUAUCAGCAGGGAAGAAAAUGACGGUACCUGAGUAAGCAGCCCCGGCUAACUACGUGCCAGCAGCCGCGGUAAUCCGUCGGGGGCACGCGUGAUCCGGAUUUACUGGGUGGAAAGGGAGCGUUGACGGCAGUGCAAGUUUGGAGUGAAAGGCGGGGGCUCAACCCCCGGACUGCUCUGGAAACUGUACGGCUGGAGUGCAGGAGAGGUAAGUGGAAUUCCUAGUGUAGCGGUGAAAUGCGUAGAUAUUAGGAGGAACACCAGUGGCGAAGGCGGCUUACUGGACUGUAACUGACGUUGAGGCACGAAAGCGUGGGGAGCAAACAGGAUUAGAUACCCCAGUAGUC
rnacentral:rRNA from 1 species